GCUGCUUUGCUGCAUCUGUCAUUCAUGAAGGUGUUUUGUUUUAGUUGCCAGACAAAAUUAAAAUACCCUGCAGCCUAAUUUAAUAAGUUAAUUAAUUAUUGAAAAGAGCCUAGUUAGUAUUAGAGUUUACUAUGAUGCAUAACUUGUACCGUGUAAUGAGGGAAUAGGCCUAGCCUAAUCUUGAUUAUUACCAAAUUUUGAAUCCAAACUGCCUAAACAUGGUGUUUUUCCGACUGCUUCAGACAAAAUACUCAAGGAUCAACAACUACUGCCCCUGUAAUAGAAUUAGUUCAAACUCAAACUCAAUGCAUCAAGAAAGCUUUCAAAAAAUGAAAAAGUUUUGGGAAAAUGAGAGAUUGCUUACUGCAAACUUAAAAUAUGAAUCACUAAAUGAAGAAGAAAAGAUCAUUCACGAUCUACAUCACGAUGCAAUAACUAAAGGUCAUUUUACCUAUUACGAUCCAAAAACAAAUGAGAGGAUAUUGACAAGAUUAAGACACUAUCUUAGAGGAAAAUGCUGUGGAAAUGCUUGCCGGCAUUGUGUUUAUAACCAUGAUAAUGUGAUUGACGAGUACAAGCUGAAAGUUCGAAGACACAACACGUCUUUUUGGACCUAUCCUGACGAAGUAAAAGAACCAGUGAUUGACGAAUCUUGUUACUUUGACGGCUCUAAUUUGAAAUCCAAAAGAAACUACCCUUCGAGUGAUGUAAAAUUUAAUUUUAGUAAAAUAUAAAAGUAUUUUUUGAUUUAUAUGAUUAGGGACUGUCUAGUAUCAAAAUGUUAUGUUAUAUAUCACUGAAGUAUUUGUUAUUGGAGUGUUAUAGUUAAGAGAGAUUGUCAGCGUUAUGCUUGUUAAAAUGUUAUGCUCUUUAGGUUAAAACUAAUAACUAAUUCAAUUUAUCAACAAGUAAUCAUAGAAAACUAAUUAAUUGUGAUGCUAGAAUUUCGGACCUGGUUACUGUUUUACAAAGCUAUUGCAAUAAAGAUUUAUAAUGACAA